rnacentral:misc_RNA from 1 species
CGGAAGUAAAAGUCGUAACAAGGUUUCCGUAGGUGAACCUGCGGAAGGAUCAUUAAUAAAUGGUCUACGUUUUUUAAGUAGCACUUAAUAAUCAUCCUACCCUUUGUGAAUUUGUUGUUUGAAAUAAUUUUUUUUUAAAAUUAUUGAUUGUCUUUCCCUGUUGAAUAGAAUGGUUUUUCGAACAAUGAAUUCGCAGGGGAGUGGUCAGUAAUUUUUAAAAAGACCUUUUUUUAAAUUAAACUUUUUGUUAUUCAUUUGUCUAAAAUUGUUUUUAUAAUAUAAAAACAACUUUUGAACAAUGGAUCUCUUGGUUCUCGCAACGAUGAAGAACGCCAGCAAAAUGCGAUAAGUUAGUGUGAAUUGCAGAAAUACGUGAAUCAUCGAAUCUUCCGAACGCAUAUUGCACUUUUUCUAGUUUACUAGAAAAGUAUGUCUGUUUGAGUAUCAGUAAAAUAUUCUCAUAAAAACUAUUUGUUUUUUAUGGUUAUGAGUGUUUUACAACGAUACAAGUUGUUUCACUUUAAAUUUUUUUUUAAAAUUUGAAAUUUUUUCUAAUUUUAAUAUAAAAUUGGAUAAAAAUUUUCCCCGUAAAAAAGGAAUAACCUAAACAAUUUUAUAACUAUUAGAAUUUUUUCAGAAUAAAAAGGAAAAUUUAUUAAAAUAAACUUGAUCUCAAAUCAGAUAAGAGUACCCGCUGAACUUAAGCAUAUCAAUAAGCGGAGGAAAAAGAAAAACUAACAAGGAUUUCCCUUAGUAACGGCGAGUGGAAGCGGGAAGAGCUCAAAUUUGAAAUCUUCAAGGUCUUACCUUGACGAAUUGUAGUUUUAAAGAAAGUGUUUUUCUGUUGAAGUUUUGGUAAAAGUUUCUUUGGAAUAGGACAUCAUAGAGGGUGAGAAAUCCCGUAUUUGACCAUUAUUUUCAGCUGUGUGAUACACUUUCAAAGAGUCGGAUUGUUUGGGAAUGCAGUCCAAAAUGGGUGGUAAAUUUCAUCUAAAGCUAAAUAUUGGCGAGAGACCGAUAGCGAACAAGUACCGUGAGGGAAAGAUGAAAAAGAACUUUGAAAAGAGAGUUAAAACAGUACGUGAAAUUGUCAAAAGGGAAGCGUUUUGACACCAGUGUUGUUUUUCUCGAAAAUCAAUUAAAAAGAGUUUGAUUUUGUUGUGUAUUGAACCUUAACAGCUUGCAUUUCAAUUUUCUUGCUUUUUUUAAUGCACUUUUUCGUUUAACAAGUCAACAUCAGUUUCUUUUGUUGUAAAAAGGUCAUUGGAAGGUGGCUUUCUUUUCGGAGAAAGUGUUUAUAGCCUUUGACUUCUGCAAUCGGAGAGGACUGAAGGUCUGCAGCGUAGAUCCUUCGGGUUAGAUACAUUUGUGCUAAGUUAUAGCUUUUUAUAGACAACUUGUUGACUAUGAUUAGUCUUGUAGCUUACUCGCUGAUGCUAUUUUACCUACGCUUAGGAUGUUGAAG